UGGGGAAUUUUGGACAAUGGGCGCAAGCCUGAUCCAGCCAUGCCGCGUGCGGGAAGAAGGCCUUCGGGUUGUAAACCGCUUUUGUCAGGGAAGAAAAGCUCUGGGCUAAUACCCCGGGGUGAUGACGGUACCUGAAGAAUAAGCACCGGCUAACUACGUGCCAGCAGCCGCGGUAAUACGUAGGGUGCAAGCGUUAAUCGGAAUUACUGGGCGUAAAGCGUGCGCAGGCGGUUAUGCAAGACAGAUGUGAAAUCCCCGGGCUCAACCUGGGAACUGCAUUUGUGACUGCAUAGCUGGAGUGCGGCAGAGGGGGAUGGAAUUCCGCGUGUAGCAGUGAAAUGCGUAGAUAUGCGGAGGAACACCGAUGGCGAAGGCAAUCCCCUGGGCCUGCACUGACGCUCAUGCACGAAAGCGUGGGGAGCAAACAGGAUUAGAUACCCUGGUAGUCCACGCCCUAAACGAUGUCAACUGGUUGUUGGGAAGGUUCCUUCUCAGUAACGUAGCUAACGCGUGAAGUUGACCGCCUGGGGAGUACGGCCGCAAGGUUG
rnacentral:rRNA from 1 species